rnacentral:rRNA from 1 species
GACGAACGCUGGCGGCGUGCUUAACACAUGCAAGUCGAACGGAAAGGCCCUGCUUUUGUGGGGUGCUCGAGUGGCGAACGGGUGAGUAACACGUGAGUAACCUGCCCUUGACUUUGGGAUAACUUCAGGAAACUGGGGCUAAUACCGGAUAGGAGCUCCUGCUGCAUGGUGGGGGUUGGAAAGUUUCGGUGGUUGGGGAUAGACUCGCGGCUUAUCAGCUUGUUGGUGGGGUAGUGGCUUACCAAGGCUUUGACGGGUAGCCGGCCUGGGAGGGUGGCCGCCCACAUUGGGCCUGCGAUACGGCCCAGACUCCUACGGGGGGCAGCGGUGGGGAAUAUUGCACAGUGGGGGGACGUCUGAUGCAGCGACGCCGCGUUCGUGAUGACGGCCUUCGGGUUGUAAACCGCUUUCGCCUGUGACGAAGCGUGAGUGACGGUAAUGGGUAAAGAAGCACCGGCUAACUACGUG